rnacentral:rRNA from 1 species
CAGCAGCCACGGUAAUACGUAGGGUGCGAGCGUUAAUCGGAAUUACUGGGCGUAAAGCGUGCGCAGGCGGUUUUGUAAGACAGGCGUGAAAUCCCCGGGCUCAACCUGGGAAUGGCGCUUGUGACUGCAAAGCUAGAGUACGGCAGAGGGGGAUGGAAUUCCGCGUGUAGCAGUGAAUGCGUAGAUAUGCGGAGGAACACCGAUGGCGAAGGCAAUCCCCUGGGCCUGCACUGACGCUCAUGCACGAAAGCGUGGGGAGCAAACAGGAUUAGAUACCCGCGUAGUCCCUGUCUCUUAUACA